rnacentral:piRNA from 1 species
GACAAACUUUCAUUGCUUGCUGGUGGGU